UUUAGGCUCCGCCCCCUGAUAUAAAAUCCCCAUUACGUCACUACAGAUCAUUACGGAAGUAAAACCAAACGACGAGACAACACAGCAAGAAAACCCAAAUAAGUUGGUGUGUACGCUUCACUCACCUUCCAGAUCGAUCAUCAACAUGCUGGGAGGAGGAUUCAAGGCAGACCGGCUCAAAGUCAACCUCCGACUUGUUAUUAACCGAUUCAAACUCCUGGAGAAAAAGAAAACUGAGCUCGCUCAGAAGGCAAGAAAGGAGAUUGCAGAUUACCUUGCAGCGGGGAAGGAUGAGCGCGCACGGAUCCGUGUGGAACAUAUCAUCAGAGAGGACUACCUGGUGGAGGCCAUGGAGAUCCUAGAGCUUUACUGUGACACGCUGCUGGCUCGCCUUGGCCUCAUUACAUCCAUGAAGGAAAUGGACCCAGGCCUGCAGGAGGCUGUGUCCACCCUUAUCUGGGCAGCACCUCGUCUCCAGGCUGAAGUGAAUGAGCUUAGAAUUGUAUCGGAUCAGCUUUGUGCAAAAUACAGCAAGGAGUACGGCAAGCUGUGCAAAACAAACCAGAUUGGCACAGUGAAUGAAAGGCUGAUGCACAAACUGGGCGUGGAGUCCCCUCCCAAGAUCUUGGUGGAGCGCUACCUGAUAGAGAUUGCUAAGAACUACAACGUGCCGUAUGAGUCUGAUGCGAUGGUCCGGUCUGAGGUUUGUGUUGGAGAGGAGGCUGACCUGAUCGACGUGAACAAUGACAAGAAGUUCGGCGGCGGAGGAGGUGGUGGUGGUGGUGGAGGUGGAGGAGGAGGAUUCACAGCUCCUCCUGGUGCCAUGCCUAUGCACAUGCCCAUGCCUAUGCCAAUGAAUAUGCCAUCCGCUUUCAACUAUCCACCUCCCAAAGGAGCCGAUCAGUUUAAUACUCCCGUUGGAACCUACAACAGCUUCCAGCAUCCCAUGGGAGGAGGGCAGCCCCCUCAGCUGCCCACUUCUCCCCCCACAUACGAGUCUGUAAGUCACCGAUCCCCCCACCCACCCAUCUUCAUCCAUGCCCCCUACCUGUUCCCACUGAGGGACAUAUGGACAGAGCAGGGCACCACUCAGGGAAGAGCAGUUCAUUCAGCUUGCUUGCAGUUUUGCCUGUCCUCUACUGUUCGUAUACUGUUUGUCAGAGUAGGCCCAGAUUGCAGGACUUGUUUACCUCUCUCUCUCUUGUAUGAUGUUUAUCUAGACAGGCACGCACCAACUACUGAGGCAGAUGUUUGGGGAAACCUACCAAUUCUGAUUCAAUGUUUGGGGAAACCUACCAAUUCUGAUUCUGCUUCAUCCGUUUGGAUUUAGGUGGCAUGGAAAACUAACACCAAAACUACUAACUUUUACCCUAUCAGUUGCUCCGAGUGGAGCCGAAAUGAACAGAUGAGAGUAUACAGAUCUCGUCAGAGAGACCUUAGGCCAGCUGAGUUCUUUAGCAAGUCUUUCAGUCAAACACUUCCGGUGAUGGGUUCUCAGAAGUUCCUCUGCAGUUUUUCCUUUCACUGUGUUUUCUUUUUGUCUGGCUUUACUUAACAAGUCAAAUAUCAACACUCAAAACAAAAAAAUAUAAUAUUAUUCCCCUUUUAUAUUAAGAUCCCAUAAUACAUAACACAUGUUCUCUUUGUUUCAGAUUGAUGACUUCACUGCUAAACCCUUUGUUCCUUCCCAGGUCAUAGGUCCUGGCCCGUCACCUCAGCGAUUUGACAACAACGCUCUCCCAGAACUCCCCUCGGUUCCUGACACACUCCCCACGUCUUCGUUCGGAGGAAACACCACCACUUCCGAUGACAUCGACUUUGAUGAUUUAACAAGGCGCUUCGAGGAUCUGAAGAAGAAGACCUAAUCCAAUAACCCUGAUCAACUCACACACAUACACGCAGGCCUGUAUUGUCACCUACGCAGCUCAUAGCAGGAAAUGGAAACUAUUUAUGCUCUCAAUCAGAUUUGGAAAGUUCUCUUCUCCUUUAAAAGUGAAGAAAUCAUACAGAUGUUUUAAGCAUACAUGUACUCUUACCUCAUUUGCAUAAACACGAUCAUCUGCCUGAGGGUGUAGUAGCUUAUUCGACCCCAUCUUUAUCAUCAUCAACAGAGUUCUCAUUUUAUUCACCCUUCUUUAUUAUUUUGUUCUUUACACCAUAUUAUAACACAUUAUGACCUACAAUCAUGUGUUCACUCCUUUUUAAAGUCAAACUUUUAUCUUUGCCCAGUAAUUUGAGUGAUUGAUUGUAUAACCAAACAUGAAUCUUAAUUGUUGCUUUUCGGGGGUUUGGGGUCUGACUAAAUUUUACAAUCCAUGCCUGUCUCUACUUUGCACAUGCUGUCUCGCUGUGAUCUCUCCACUGUGUCGCUCAGUCCCGUCUUAGACCGGUCCAACCAGCCCAGCUGGCCUAGCCAGUUUUGUUAUGAGCAGGCAUUCACACUAACAAAGGCUGCAGAUUGUUUCCAAUGCAUACCCACUUAUCUUUCUUACAUAGAGGUUGAAGCCAUAUUUCCACUGUUUUGCGCAGUCAUGCCCUUAUGUCACUGUGGAAAUGACGUGUUUAAUCACUCCUUAUUCUUCAAGGUUCAUUAUCAUCAUUUAACAAGGGUGUAUGAGCCACCCAGGAAGAGCUAAUGGUGACCCAUUUAACCUGUUACAGACGUUGUGAGGCACGGAUGUAAAGUAAUGAAACAGUGUAUGGAAACCUGUAAUAUAAUACGUUUACAAUAACAUAGAUAGACCUAUUAUGAGGGUGAUUGAAGUGUACAGCAAGAAAUGAUUGGAUUUAGGGUGUUGUACAAUAUUUAGUAAUUCUGUUUUAUAUAACAUAUCUCCAAAUAAAGUUUGUUUUUCCCUCUUGGAAUAUCAGUUUUACCAAACACCUGCACCUUCUCUCAUUUAUUUAAAUAACAAGCAACAUGUGUGCAGAACAAAGCCCAGUUUGAUUGAUCAUAUGUAAAUAUUUGUCCCCAGAGGUUCUCGGUGUGUGCUGUCCUCUGUGAUUCUGUGUGCAUGUGUCUUUUACUGUAAGUCCACCACUGCAUUUGCCUUAGUUACCAUCUCUCAUCAGAGGCCUUGUGAGUCCGUACCAGGAUUCUGUACCUGUUAUCCACCAAGACUGAGUACAUAAUCAAACUUUGCUUUAUUUGCUUUGCCCAUAAACACUUUUCAAAAAGAGCUUUGAGUUGAAAUGUGCAGACUGGGAGAUAACAGAUGGCUGUGGGUUAAGAGGAGGAUGUUUUUAUGUCCUGUGGAGGAAUGUGAGUGAAAGGUUUCUGUAUAGACAUAACAUGAUGCUAUAACCACACCUAGCUCUCCUGCAUGGACUGAGGCCUUGAAUUAAAUGACUCAAAUGUCUGGAAAUAACCAGACAUGCUUUAUAGCCGGGUGGUAGACACAGUUUAUAGACUGGUUUUGAACAGGUGUUCGAGAAAGUAAAGACGUGGUUAUUAACACUACAGAACUGUGAUCGGCUCAAUGUCUUUUCUAUGUUGGACUGUUCUUUCAUGUUAAACCUGAAGAUACAAAGUCAUGUCUUGUUGCAUGAGACGCGUUUUUCCACUGUAUACUAAGCGAUUUAAUAAAAGAUUAUAUGGAACUGG